rnacentral:rRNA from 1 species
GAUGAACGCUGGCGGCGUGCCUAACACAUGCAAGUCGAGCCGAUGAAGUUUUCUUCGGAAAACGGAUUAGUGGCGGACGGGUGAGUAACACGUGGGCAACCUGCCUUAUAGAGGGGAAUAGCCUUCCGAAAGGAAGAUUAAUACCGCAUAACAUUAUCGGAUGGCAUCAUCUGAUAAUCAAAGGAGCAAUCCGCUAUAAGAUGGGCCCGCGUCGCAUUAGUUAGUUGGUGGGGUAAUGGCCUACCAAGACGACGAUGCGUAGCCGACCUGAGAGGGUGAUCGGCCACAUUGGGACUGAGACACGGCCCAGACUCCUACGGGAGGCAGCAGUGGGGAAUAUUGCACAAUGGGGGAAACCCUGAUGCAGCAACGCCGCGUGAGCGAUGAAGGUCUUCGGAUCGUAAAGCUCUGUCUUUAGGGAUGAUAAUGACAGUACCUAAGGAGGAAGCCACGGCUAACUACGUGCCAGCAGCCGCGGUAAU